rnacentral:rRNA from 1 species
UACGUAGGGAGCAAGCGUUGUCCGGAAUCAUUGGGCGUAAAGCGCGCGUAGGCGGCCCUGUAAGUCCGUUGUGAAAGUCAAAGGCUCAACCUUUGAAAGCCGAUGGAUACUGCAGGGCUAGAGUCCGGAAGAGGCGAGUGGAAUUCCCGGUGUAGCGGUGAAAUGCGCAGAUAUCGGGAGGAACACCAAUGGCGAAGGCAGCUCGCUGGGACGGUACUGACGCUGAGGUGCGAAAGCGUGGGGAGCAAACAGG